AUAUAGAUAAAAUAAUAAUUAGCCAUGAACUGAGUGAUUUUGCGGGAUGGACUUAAAAUUCUUUCUCCACCAGAAGUGUUUAUGAUCGAUUGAAAAAUCACAGAAAAAGGAAAUCUUUAAGAAAAGAAGUGGAAACAAAAUCUCCUCUGAUCCUUCAUAAUAGUAUGCAAUACACACGGGAAGGAUGUGUGCCGAAAAUACUGGAAUCAACUGUAAAUGCCGGCUACUCCUACUUUAUCCGUAACUUUAUUAACGCUGUAAAAUGUAUGGUUAAUUUGAUAAAAUCUCUCAUGAAGCGGCAGGCAUUUUAAAGGAGUAAAGGAGCGGCCAAAUAGCAAUUAUUGGAGAAUUUACCGACGCUAAACUUCGCAGGUAUUCACAUUCAGCAGGUCAGAAUUUGCGAACUACAUAUACUAGUAGAAACUGCUCUUAUGUGUAAUUGAAGUCAACGAUUUCGUGUUGAAGAUUCAUCAAAAUACAGCAUCGUAAUAUGCCUUUGUGACUUUCAGAAAAAUUUCUCCGUUAAACCUAUGAGCAAGAAGCAAAAACAGUCA